rnacentral:misc_RNA from 1 species
GAUAAGAACGCAGCGAAAUGCGAUAAGUAAUGUGAAUUGCAGAAUUCAGUGAAUCAUCGAAUCUUUGAACGCACAUUGCGCCCCUUGGUAUUCCGAGGGGCAUGCCUGUUCGAGCGUCAUUAUAACCCCUCAAGCUCGGCUUGGUGUUGGGGCCUGCCGCACGGGCAGCCCUUAAAAUCAGUGGCGGUGCCAUCUGGCUCUAAGCGUAGUAAUUCUUCUCGCUAUAGAGUCCCGGUGGAUGCUUGCCAUUACCCCCCAAUUUCAAUGGUUGACCUCGGAUCAGGUAGGGAUACCCGCUGAACUUAAGCAUAUCAAUAAGCGGAGGA